AACCGCCGUGUACGGACCCGUACGCACGGUGGUGUGGGAGGGGAGGGACCGCGAGGUUCCCCCCUAUCCCGAU
rnacentral:ncRNA from 1 species